GAGCCUUGAUGUGUAGGAUAGGUGGGAGGCUUUGAAGUGUGGACGCCAGUCUGCAUGGAGCCGACCUUGAAAUACCACCCUUUAAUGUUUGAUGUUCUAACGUUGGCCCCUAAUCGGGGUUGCGGACAGUGUCUGGUGGGUAGUUUGACUGGGGCGGUCUCCUCCUAAAGAGUAACGGAGGAGCACGAAGGUUGGCUAAUCCUGGUCGGACAUCAGGAGGUUA
rnacentral:rRNA from 1 species